rnacentral:rRNA from 1 species
GAUGAACGCUGGCGGCGUGCCUAAUACAUGCAAGUCGAGCGAACGGACGAGAAGCUUGCUUCUCUGAUGUUAGCGGCGGACGGGUGAGUAACACGUGGAUAACCUACCUAUAAGACUGGGAUAACUUCGGGAAACCGGAGCUAAUACCGGAUGAUAUUUUGAACCGCAUGGUUCAAAAGUGAAAGACGGCCUUGCUGUCACUUAUAGAUGGAUCCGCGCUGCAUUAGCUAGUUGGUAAGGUAACGGCUUACCAAGGCAACGAUGCAUAGCCGACCUGAGAGGGUGAUCGGCCACACUGGAACUGAGACACGGUCCAGACUCCUACGGGAGGCAGCAGUAGGGAAUCUUCCGCAAUGGGCGAAAGCCUGACGGAGCAACGCCGCGUGAGUGAUGAAGGUCUUCGGAUCGUAAAACUCUGUUAUUAGGGAAGAACAUAUGUGCAAGUAACUGUGCACAUCUUGACGGUACCUAAUCAGAAAGCCACGGCUAACUACGUG